rnacentral:rRNA from 1 species
CCUACGGGUGGCAGCAGUAGGGAAUAUUGCUCAAUGGGGGAAACCCUGAAGCAGCAACGCCGCGUGGAGGAUGAAGGUUUUCGGAUUGUAAACUCCUUUUGUUAGAGACGAUCAUUACGGUAUCUAACUACUACGCACCGGCUAACUCCGUGCCCGCCGCCGCGGUCAUACGGAGGGUGCAAGCGUUACUCGGAAUCACUGGUCGUAAAGAGCGCGUAGGCGGGAGAGCAAGUCAGAUGUGAAAUCCUAUGGCUUAACCAUAGAACUGCAUUUGAAACUGUUAUUCUAGAGUAUGGGAGAGGUAGGUGGAAUUCUUGGUGUAGGGGUAAAAUCCGUAGAGAUCAAGAGGAAUACUCAUGGCGAAGGCGACCUGCUAGAACAUAACUGACGCUGAUGCGCGAAAGCGUGGGGAGCAAACAGGAUUAGAUACCCCUGUAGUC